AAAAAACACUUCAGCUAGUUGCAGGUUCUGAGCAGAAACCAAUUGAUUAAGUGAACAUAAUUAAUAUGAUGUUUUGAUUAUGUUUAGUUGGUAACAGAGUCCUCCUGUCCUGUGGUAAAUUUGUGUGGUGUCUUACCAAAUGAUUGCGUUGGAAACAAGUUAUUGUAAUAGCUGGGGAUACAUAUAGGUAUAAUUAACACUGUUAAAAUGCUCCAAACUAUCCUCUUAUUCCAGAAAAGAGAUUCUUAA
rnacentral:misc_RNA from 1 species